ACGGGAGGCUGGCGACCAACUUCUGCCUCUCCCCAGACGACCUCUCCCACCACACAGAUUGCCGAUGUUGGAGAGAGGAAAAGGGAUCCCGGGGUCCCGCUGGCAGUGUAAUAACGGGGGCCAGGGAGUGAAGGUCCCAUUAGUCAAAGUGCACGGAAGUCCUCCUCUACAAACCGAAGGUAGAGAAAAUCAAAUCCCGCCCCUCGUGGCUGUCACGGCCACCCGAAAAUGAACUAAAAUGAAAAUGCUGCUGGCAAGUGGGAUGCUGGGACGUUUCGUGACUGAGUUGUAGUCCUGGGAUGAAAAUACAGGAGCUUUGGUUGUCUCCAGCUGUAAAAGUCAUUUGGGGCCUAAAAUCGGUUUUAUGGCCUUUUCCCGGGGUGUAAUAACUGGAAAGUGCCCGAGGCAGGUCUCUGUGGGAAAUCUAGUGGUGCUCCACAUAGAUCCUCCUGCCUCAACCAGUGAGAGCCGGCUAGCAGCUAGGAAACAAUUACAUUAUUUCUGCGGUACAGCUCGAUACGUCCCCAAUAAAAGUUAAUGAUUAUGUGCAGACUUGCAGACAUCCGAGAGUCUAGACCCAAGACGCUGGGAGAAAUCUUUGCACCUUCACUCUCCGGCCUUCCGCGCGAGUAGAACCUUAACGUCACUUCCACACCAGCCUCAGGCCGUUCGCCGAUCUGCCCCUUUGGGUCGCCCGCACCGCCCUGCAUUAGAAGGUCACUCUGAUAACUUCCUUAUUCACCCAGGAUGUGUUUAUUGAGCACCUGCUGUGUGCCAGGCAUGCUGUCCUGGAGCUGCCCUUUGGCGGGAAGGUCAGGGGCACGGGCGGCAAGCAGGCAAGUGUGCCAAAGAGCCUCUCAGGGCUGUGACAGGGACACAGGGGCUCGGGAAGGCGCCUCCGAGGAGAGGACAUCUGAGCUGAGACCUGGAAGACGUGGGAGCAGCCAGGAGAACCGGACAGAAAGAACUCAUGCCGGAAGGAGAAGCCAGGGCCAGAGGCCAGUUGCUGGACCAUUUGUAUCGUUUGGAUUGCCUGCUACUUCCUUUGCCCACUCGUUCUCCUGGAGUCUGAGGGUCACAUACGUAAAGCAUAUUAGAGUAUCAACACUCCCCGUGCUUCCAUAAAAAUCACCAAAUACUAGUUGGGCACCGCUUUAGACAAGCUGCUGUGCUGGAUGGAGGUCUGCCUGAAGAGGUGAGGAACACCCCACAAUCCCUGCCUUCAUGGGGCAAGAAGGUAGAUGGUAGUGACAGAGUUAACCCAAACCCGUAAUUGCCAAAUGGGUCGAUGGGUGUUUGGGCAAGGACUGGCAUGCUGCGAGGGGGAUCUGAUCUGGCCUCGGGCUCCGGAAGGUUCCUCUCAGGAAGUGACAUCGGCGUUGUAGUUCGAUGAAGGAGUAGGAAAUAACCACUUGCGGUGGGAGGGGGAGGGGCUGGAGAGAUAUUAGCAGGUGCAAGGCCCUGAGGCCCAAGGGAGCGGGCGGGCGGGUGUGUCCAGCGACGUGAAGGAAUGUGUUUUGAGCUGGAAUGUGAAGGAAGACCAGUGCAGGGGACUGGGGGGUGGGCACAGAGAUUAGAGAGUGCCAGAUCAAGGUGAGGCGGUCAGACAGUCGGCCAGCAACUGUUCAUUUUCCUUUCUAGACUCUUUGUCCACAGCUAUGGAUAAGAUGGCCACCCAGGGCCCGGACUCCUAGCGUAUGGUCUUCUUUAAGGUCUGCCAUUUUCUCGGAUGAAUUCACCGUUUAUCACCCCGGGACGGAGGUUUCCUUGGUUGGUUCUUUCAUCCAUUCAUUUAGUCCACAGAUAUGCACUGAGCACCUGUGAUGUGCAGGCGAGUAAGUAAGCUGAUCUCAGACGCGGAUGCGUUUUUGGAAGUGAAUGAACGAGCGAAAAGGGAGGAAGUCCCCUGGGCUCUGUGUUGGGAGCUGGCGUGCCUGAGCAGCCCACCCUGGGGGUGGCACUAGGGUAGUGACACAGGCCCCGAAAGUGGGAGGGGAGCUUUGUCUUCAUCCUCAGGGCGGAGGGAAGUCCGACUGGUUUUCAGCCAAGAAGUGGCCUCAUCAGGCCUGUGGUUGGGAAAGGUCCCUCUGGCUUUGCUGGGGACCUUGAGGCCGGAGCUGCUGAAUGGGCCCCAGAGGUCAUGGAGGUCAUUUCUGCGGUCCAAGUGGGACGUGAGGGCCCACGUGAGAAAGGGUAGAGGCAGUGAACCCCCAGUGAUGUGGGUGGAUGGCUCCAAGGUGUUCCAGAAGGCCGAUCCACAGGACCUGGCAGAGGGUGGGUCACGGGAGGGGGACCCAAGAUGCAGAACCGGAGAAUGUGCCAGUUAAUGAGAAACGGAAGCACAGAGGGCACUGCUGUGAGUUAGUGCCCGGGGACACCUGUGCAAAGGCAGGGACCUCUAAGACAGGACCAUGUCCCUCUCUGGCGGCCUGGCACAGUGCCUGGUAAUCAGAAGAAGACCAGUGAGGAAGCAAGCAUCACUCCAGACCUACCAGAUGUGCAAAGAUGAAGAGGUCUUCAAAGAUGGGGCCGAGUGUCUUCAAGGACGUGGAGAAUCAGGGGCGCGGAGACACUGUGGUGGGGUCGUAAGUCAGGUCAUCCACUUUGGGGAGCAGAUGAAAAUACCAAGUAAAGUUAAAAAUGCCCAUUUCUUUCACCCUGAAAUCCUACUUACAGCAUAAAUCUGGAGAAACGUCUGCUCAGGGGAGUGUGAACACACAGAUGUUCAUUGCAUCAUUGUUUAUGACAGCAAAGAACCUGGACACCCAUCGACAGGUAAAAAGAUACACACAUUCAUGGAUGUAAGAACCAGAGACAACGCAGAGAGAAACGCCAGAGAUAGGGAAGGCUUCCACAUUCCGGCAGAUUGUCACGAAACGUGGCUCUCACUUCUGAGCACAGAGGUGUGUGUUGAGAUGAAAUCUAUAAAUCACGGACAACGUGGUCAGUCUCCAUGGAGACUUGUUCCACCCCCAGCCUCCCCCCCCCCCACCGUCAGGGGCACCUCCAUUUUACCCAGUGGUUCAAGUCCGAAACCCAAGUGUCAUCUUGGAUUCUUGUCUUUCUCACACUCCACAACCAAUCUGUCGAAAACCUCUGUCAUUUCUACUUCCAAAAUAUAUUCCCCUCCCUUCCCUUCUUCGGAAUAUGACACUUCUCUCCAUCUCCGUCCCACUGCCCACAUCCGGCCUCCCUCCUGGGCAGCUGACAGCCUCUGCUCCCUUGCUCUCCCCACCAUCACCCCCUCCCUGCCCUGCAGCCAAGGCGAUCCUUAAAACAGCAAAUCGGAAGUCAUCAUUCCCCUGCUUAUACCCGUCAGUGGUUCCCCCUCCACCGAGAAUAUGCUAACUGCCCUCCCUUCACCAAUAAAACUGAAAAAUCUGGA